rnacentral:rRNA from 1 species
GACGAACGCUGGCGGCGUGCUUAACACAUGCAAGUCGAGCGGUAAGGCCCUUUCGGGGGUACACGAGCGGCGAACGGGUGAGUAACACGUGGGUGACCUGCCCUUAGCUCUGGGAUAAGCCUGGGAAACUGGGUCUAAUACCGGAUAUGACUCCAUGACGCAUGUUGUGGGGUGGAAAGCCUUGUGCGGCUAGGGAUGGGCCCGCGGCCUAUCAGCUUGUUGGUGGGGUGAUGGCCUACCAAGGCGACGACGGGUAGCCGGCCUGAGAGGGCGACCGGCCACACUGGGACUGAGACACGGCCCAGACUCCUACGGGAGGCAGCAGUGGGAAUCUUGCGCAAUGGGCGAAAGCCUGACGCAGCGACGCCGCGU